GGUGGCAAGGAUGAUAUGUACUUGCCCUCACUUAGAUCAUAGUUGGUUGAUGACAGCAUUUUUCUGAUCCAGU
ensembl:snoRNA